GUGAGGAAAAAACAAAACAAGAAGAAAGUAGAGGAGGUGCUAGAGGAAGAGGAAUAUGUGGUGGAAAAAGUUCUAGACCGGCAAGUGGUAAAGGGCCAAGUGGAGUAUCUCCUAAAGUGGAAGAGGGUCUCAGAUGAGGACAACACAUGGGAGCCGGGAGAUAACCUGACUGCCCUGACCUCACUGCUGUUUCUGCAGUCACAGAAAACAGCACCCGAGACAGACAAACCAGAUGGAGGCAAGUGCAAAGCUGAUUCUGAUUCAGACAAUAUGGGGGAGGAGAGCAAACCAAAGAAGAAGAAAAGAAUCAGAAAAGUCACAAGGCUUUGCCUGGGGUUUGGAACCUGAGUGGAUUAUUGGAACUACAGAUUCCAGUGGAGAACUCAUGUUCCUGAUGAAAUGGAAAAACUCUGAUGAGGCUGACCUGGUCCCUGCCAAGGAAGCCAAUGUCAAGUGCCCACAGGUUAUCAUAUCCUUCUAUGAGGAAUGCUGAGGUGCCAUUCUUAUCCCUCAGAGGAUGAUGACAAAAAAAACAAGAAUUAA
rnacentral:lncRNA from 1 species